rnacentral:lncRNA from 1 species
UUCCUGCAUUUACUGCUAUCUUUGCUCCCUUCUGUAGACUUAGUGGGUGGACCGAUAUUGUUGAGGGCGGCACCCACUGAGGACUACCUGUUUUUACAGUAGUUCUCACGCCCUGUUAUUACCCCCUGUUUUUGCAGAGCCACCAUCGUCGGCUGCUGCUGUCGCAGAUCAGGAUCGAGGCAAGGGCGUCACGAGUUAGAGCCCUACCAGACGUGCCGAGCUAGAGGUACCCUUACUGCAGGUAGAUGUUUUGCUUUGAGUUCAUGUACAUAGUAUGCUUAACUCGCCAGUGCGAGUAGCUCUGUAUUUUCAGUAUUGAACUAUGUAUAUGGAACUCUGUUUGUUUAGCUUCUGUUUACUCUAGCAGCUCUAUACUACUGUUUGUAGUAUUUUAUGGGUUACAGGAACUGCUAUCGCUUCGUAUACAGGGAAAAUUCCUUUGUAUACGGCGGAUUUGUUGGCGUGCCCGGAGAACGUGUAAUCCAGGGCGUGACAGGUGAGGUCCGCCGGAGCCGUUUACGGGCACAGCACACCGCGGGCGGAGGAAUCGAAGGGGAGCAUUUGUGCAGGCUGGAAGUUCUGGGCGCCCAGAACUUGGUUUAGGGCGCCCAGAUCUCGGAUUUUCUGCAGGGAUAGCAGGUUUCAACAAUUGUUCCUGAGGGUUAUCUGACCACUCCAGCACCCUAUAAAUACCUGGUGUACAUCCCCUUUGAGCUCUUUUCACCUGCCCUUCACAGAGAACCCUGAAUUUGCUCUUCAAUCCCUCAAAUAUUCUUAAUUUGCAUCAAGAUCCACAACUCCAAGAUUUGCAAGGUGCUGAUUCUGCAGUUUUUCCAGCGACGACCUUCAGUGUUUUGGCUCGUGCGCGACGUAGGGAAGUCGGAUUGCGACGAAACUUGGUUUGUUGGAUUCUAGACUUCCAGAGGAAUCCAGGAAGCCUUGAAUUGCGGAUUUUGGUUAAGGUUAGCUCAGUCAAUUUCUCAGGUUUCUGGACUGUUGUGGUUUUGGACCUGAUUUUUGGAUUUCUUGAAUUUUCUUGAUACGAUCGUUGGAAACAGGGGGAUUUUGGACCUGAGACUCAUACUCCAUCACUACUCACUGCUUUUGGAACUCCACCUCAACUGAUUUGGAGUCGGAUGGUAAUGUUAGCAUUACAAGUGGAUAAUUUAGCUUAAGUGCUGAAAUUUUAGUUGUAUUGAUGGAUUUUGGAUCUUGUUAAAGUCUAGAGUUUGGAGAACUCUUGUUACUGUCUUGGAGGAGCUUCGGUUGAUCCAGCAGAGGAAGUCCUUGUGGUUCGAGACCUCCUUGCUGUCAGGAAGUGCUUUAGAGAUGGGUUACAUCGGUUUAUUCCAAAGCACAGUAUUAGUCGACAUGCAUGAUUUCCAGUUUUUGUAAAUCAUAUUGUAGCUCAAUUUCGUUGAUUGUAUCAUGGAUGAAAUCAGUAUUGAGGACAUGAUUAGUAAACCAUAAAUAUACAUGUUCGACUUGGAUUUGACUUAGGAGAAAACCGCGAGUAUAACCUGUCAUAUGCUUAAACUACCUGAUUUAGCUCUAGGAGCAGUUGUAAUUUUGUAUCGUUGCAGUAUCGAUAUGACGGAUACCCCAGGUAGUUUAGAGUUCAGUUACGCUCGUGCUGGGAUGCCGAGUGUAUUUUUACAGUAGCAUUAAGGCUGUUCCGGACUGUUGGGUGCUGUCGAAGUUGACGGUGGACCCAUAUCGCCUUUUUGGCGUCGGAUUGUGCCGAAGGCACGUGACCUGUUGGUUGUUAGACCAGUUAGAGUCGGUUACUUGGACUUUGGCUUGAGAGAGCCUGAUUGAGCUCGACAGAGAUACGUUCCAUACUCAAUUGGGUAGCUCCCACGAGUGCCACUCCGGAGACGGGCGCUGUGCUUUCGCAUUGAUGUCGUGCAUGCCGGUUAGACUUGCUCUCCACGGACUGGAUAGUGUGGAGGUAGCUGGAUAGUCCCAACUGGGUGGGGCUGGUGUGUUCACAGUCCCUGGGACGGGUAUAUUUACAGUCCCUAAAGAGAUUAGGUCAGAUUUGACAUUACUACAGCAGGUCAGCUUAGAGCAUGAUAGUGUAAUAAAUGGUAGCUGUAGAUUUUAUUCCAGCAUUUAUUCUACCUUUGCUCCCUUCUGUAGACUUAGUGGGUGGACCGAUAUUGUUGAGGGCGGCACCCACUGAGAACUACUUGUUUUUACAGUAGUUCUCACGCCCUGUUGUUACCCCGUUUUUGCAGAGCCAUCGUCUUCGGCUGCUGCUGUUGCGGAUCAGGAUCGAGGCAAGGGCGUCGCGAGUUAGAGCUCUACCACUACAACAAAAGCGGUCUAUAGCGACACUUUUAAAUGUAGGUACAUGUCAAAAAAGUGCUGCUAGCUAAAAUUACCGACACUUUUAAAAAGUGUUGCUAUAUGUGGGGUCGGUAGGUAUAUAGUAACAGUUAAAGUGUGUCGCUAUAAUCUAAAAGAGUGCUGCUAAUUUACAAAUACUUAUUUAAGCAUUUAGCAACCGCCGAAACUCUAUCUCGUUGGCUGCGGUGGCGGAGGAGGACGACAGGAAAGGCUCUUCGUCUAGAAUUUCAAUGGAUUGAGUGAAGAGAGAAGAAAAGAUGGUAAUUGAUUUUUCUUUUUUUUUUCUUUUCUGUUUGUAAUCGGGUCCAAUGGACUGGAUGUGGUGGGUUGAGUAGAGUAAUCUUUUAUUUUUGGUUGGAUUGGGCUUUAUAUUUAGGCAUAAGUAGAUGUUUUUUUAAGUUUUAGCAUAAAUGGGACACUUACUCAAAAGUGUCUCAAACAUGUGUCCCUAUAACCUAAUUCUGUUGUAGUGUACCCGACGAGCCGAGCUAGAGGUGCCCCUACUGCAGGUAGUUGUUUUGUUGGAGUUUAUGUACAUACAGUUAUUUUAACUCGCUAGUGCGAGUAGUUUCGUAUUUUGGAUUUGAUGUAUGUAUAUGGAACUCAGUUUGUGUUUAGUUUCUGGUUCUUCUAGCAGCUCUAUACUACUGUUUGUAGUAUUGUCUGUUAUACAGGUACAGUUAUCGCUUCGUAUACAGGGGAAAUUUCUUUGUAUACGGCGGAUUUGUCGGCGUGCCCGGGGAUCGAGUAAUCCGGGGCGUGACAGCGUAUAUAUUGCUAAUCCCUAUAUCAAGCAGCCAUAUUCGCGAUAAGCUCGACAUGGUCAAACCCAGCAUUUCAAAUCGAAUCCUUUUUAUUGGGUUGAUUGAGCAGCCAUCUUCGUAAUAGGCUAGGCAUGAUCAAACCCGCGCACAAAAAAUAAUAAAACAAAAAAACAACAAAUAAUUUUAAAAAUGAGCAUAUUGUGAUUUGCCAUCUUCGUGAUAGGCAUUGUUCGAACCAUUCGUCAUCUUCAUGAGAGGCACGGUUCGACUCGAUCAAUUUGUCAUCUUCGUGAUAGACAUUGUUCGAAUCAUUUGCCAUCUUCGUAAUAGGCAUGGUUCGACUCGAUCAAUUAGCCAUCUUCGUGAUAGGUACUAUUCGAACUAUAUGCCAUCUUCGUGAUAUGCACGAUUUGGCUUGAUCAAUUAACCAUCUUCAUGAUAGACACUAUUCGAACCAUAUGCCAUCUGUGUGAUAGGUACGGUCCGAUGUGACCACAUUGUCGUGAUAGGCACAUGUUCGAUCAAAUUGCCAUCUUCGUGAUAGGCAUUACUCAAUUUAAUCGAACCUAAUGUUUAGGACGGGUUGUCUAAGCGACGUCCUCUGAGUGCAACAUAAAGAUUGAUGAUUCAUGAAUUUGGCAUUGAUUUUAGACCGGACCAAAUCAAUUCGAAUUGAAUCCGACAUGAAAAAAAGGAACUGUUUAGAAUUAAUUAAUUCAUAAAUUUAAAGGAGCCUAAUCUACAAUUCACUUAUGUGCUCAAUGAACAAAAUCCAACAUACAAGGCCCAAAUAUCAUAGACUCAACCCAUACGCAGUCCAUCAACAAAACUAAAUUCAAUCCAGCCCAAAACCUGAAUCCAGCCCAUAUACAAUGCAGAUUCAGUCUAUAUACGGGCCCUGCAUAUAGCCCGUAUGCAAAUAUAUAUAGGCCCAAUCUACUCACGGGCCCUGAAUCCAGCUCGUAUACAAUGCUGGCCCAGUUGCUUAUGGAUUGAAAACCCAGUCCACAUAAAAAUAAAGUCCAGUCUACAUAUGGGCUCCAAAUUUAGCCCACAUGCUAAUAAAGCACAAAAUUAGAUUCAGAACCUAGUCCAUAUAUAAAUAUAUUCCUUGAUUCAGUCUAUAUGCAAAUUCGGGUCCAAAACCCAUAAAACCGAAAGUCCACAAUAAAAUCCAACCUAAUCUAGUGCGGCUUAUCAAACCAUCAAAACCCAAGAGCAUAAAACCCAAAACGACCAAACCCGUAUCAUCCAAAAUGCCUUCAACCCAAACAAAAAAAAAUGGGCUUCCAAAUGCCUUCAACUCAAACAAAAAAAUGGGCUUCUAUCACGAACUAAUUUCAUGAAUCAAAAAAGAGGUGCUAUCAUGGACUACCUUCAGGAAUCAAAAAUGGGAUUUCAUCAUAGGCUCAUAUCAUGAACUAACUUCAUGAAUCAAAAAGGGAUUUCUAUCAUGAGCUAAAGAUAGCUUUCCGCCAUAAUGAGCUUUCAUCAUAAACUCAUAUUGUAACGACUCGAUCCGGUAGCAACAAUAAUUCGUUGGGCCCAAACCAUUGGCCUAAAAUGCUUAAGCCCAGUUAUUAUUACUAGUAUGUAGGCUUCAUAUAUUCUAAUCAAAAUUAUUUUUCCAUCUGAUGUGGGGCUAUUGGGGAGUUUGUGGAAUCAUUUUUCUAUCUGAUGUAGGACUAUUGCGGCGUUAUAAACUCCCCUUGUUUAGACCCUGAUCCGAUGAGAGACUAUUGGAAAGUUCGUGGAAUCAUUUUCCUAUCCAAUGUAGGACUAUUGCAGCAUUACAAACUCCCUCUGUUUAGACUCUGACCUAAACCAAAUCACAGAUGCAGACCAGAAUUACCAAGCAAUAUGAGAUUCUAGAGGUGGCUUCUACGGGUUCAAGAGGUGGUUCCCAUCAAACCCAUUGGUGUAGCACUUUGUCCACCAUAGCACUUAGCUCUCACACUUCCGGUUGACAUUCGGCUCUAAUGCCAAUUGUAACGACCUGAUCCGCUAGCAACAAUAAUUCGUUGGGCUAAAACCACUGGCCUGAAAUACUUAAGUUAAGUUAUUAUUACUAUCGUGUAGACCUCAUAUAUUCUAAUCAGAAUCAUUUUUCCAUCCGGUGGACUAUGGGGGAGUUUGUAAAAUCAUUUUUCCCACCGAUGAGAGACUAUUGGGGCGUUACACAUAUGAACUAAAUACGGAGUGCCUUCAACCAAAUUGUAAGGGUUCGAUCUAAAUCAAAUCCCAACGGGUUCUGACCCAAAGUAUAGCGAUUCAGCCCAAACCAAUCUAAAAAAGGCCAAACAAGCCUAAGGUGGCUCAACACAAAUCAAAUACAAGGGGAUCAAAUUAAUUCAACCUGAACUCAACUAGAAUGAUCCAAAUAAAGUAAACCAAAGAUUAAGUAAACCAGCUCCGCUCGAACUGAAAUAGAUCAACGGUUCAGACUGAGCUGAAUCAAAUUAAUCGAUCGAGUCAACUGAAUCAACUCACAAGCCAGAUUUAAAUGACUGCAAAGUCUUUAUACUAAGCAACCCAAAAUCAAAUGACCACAAAGUCUUUAAACUAAACAAUCCAAAUUCAAGUGCGCAAGACGUUAAACUAAGCAAGUCAAAAUCAAACUCUACUCAAAUCGACCACCAUAUCUUUAAACUAAGCAUCUCAACUUCAAGCUGACCACCGCAUCAUUAAACUGAGCAACACAACUUAAACUAACCGCCAAGUCGUUAAACUGAGCAAACGAAAUUCGAACUCAAAUUGACGGCUAAGUCGUUAGUCUGAGCAAAUUAAAUUUAAACUCAACUCAAUUUAACCGCUAAAUUGUUAAACUGAGAAAAUUAAAUUUAAAUUCAACUCAACUCUACUGCUAAGUCCAUAAACUGAGUAUUAAUGCUUUACAAAAUUCAUGUAAAGUGGGGGUAAUGCUUUACAAAAUUCAUGUACAGUGGGAGUAUGCCUCUGCUUAAGCCAUGUACAUAGCAAAUCAUAUUAAUAAAAUUUUAUCUUCAUGCUUUGGUCUCGUUUAUUAUCAGCAUUCAUGUUCGGUCUCUUAAUCGAAGGUUCCUUAAUACUGUCAAUGUGGAUAAUUAACAGCAGAUUCUUGAACCUGCUGGAAGCCAUUAACCAACAAUCCUGAUUUCAAGACAAAACUUAAAUAAAUUUAAUCUGUACCAUAAAUGACCACUCGUCGGAGAAAAGCUUGCGGCGGGGCCGCUUCGUUCGUGGCGGCAGACAUGCUGUAAAAGGAAGUCUUCUCCUCCAUUUUAAUCAAGCCAAAUGAAGGCCAAUUCAAUGGCCAUAUUAUUUGAAGGUUCUGAUGUUUAAGUCCUUUUUGUCUCUUAUUUUCAGUAGCCUUCUAUUACUUCUCUACCUAGUACAAGUCAAAAAGAAUUUAAAAGGAAAAUGCGGCACUACAGGUUAAAGUAGCCAACCAACUAAAUAACCUACUCAUCUCUUCACUCUUUCUCCUAGAUCUGAACCACAUAAAUUAAUAUUCACUACAUAAACUAAUAGGCAAGAACUAAAUGUGGUAUGAAUUACAAAAUUCUAUUCAAACAUUAAUCAUACUAAACUACUCAAUGUAUAGCACCAACUAGAACAAACUUCUAAUCUGUUGCUAUUGUUGAUGCAGGAUGAAAUUGGAAUCUUAAAAUGAACUUUUAAGUCAUUUAAGAUUCAAAACUUAAAUUGAUUGAGAGUUACGAUCUCCAAAUUAUGCUCAAGUACCUUCUUAAGCUGACUUCAAGAACCCGAAAGGAGAAAGGAAGAAAUGAAAAAAAUGAUAAGAAAAAAGUGGAAGUACUUGAGCAGAAAAACAAAAUUGAGCAUAUAUUUUAAGGAUUUUGAAGCAUCUAAUUUGGAAAUGGUCGAAAAGCCUCUGAAUUUGUUCACAGCUUUAGUUUCUUUCUACACGUUUUCUUCUAAAUUUCUCUCAGCAAAUCUUUAGCCUUCGUUUGUAUAGAUUAAAAAAGAAAAAACCAGCUUCAUUAUCUGGAUCCACAAAAUUGAUUCCCUACUUUCUGCAGGGGUCUGACAUUUAAGAAGCAACAUGAAAUAAUUGAGAGGUCAAGAAGUAUAGUUUUACGUUAAAAAAAGCCGUGUUAAAAGAUUUAAGAACAUUUAAAGUAUCAACAACAUAAAGAAUAACAAUGAGUAUGAUACAACAAUAACAAUAAUGAACGAUAAAAGUAAGUUUAUAAUUAGUAUUAUAAUUAAUAGAUAAAGGAUGAUAAAGGGAAAAAAAGAAAAGAAAGGAAGAGUAUACAUAUAGAUCAAAACUAACUCCUGAAAGUUAUAGGAUCCACGUCUAUAGGAUUAACAACUUACACCUUCAUUAUGAGAUCACGCCAGAAAGCAGAAUGCAUCUUUAUUUUGAAAUUCCUGAGAGUACAAAACUGUAUGUAAUUAAAUAGUUUUCCAAAAUAACUGAAAUACCUCUCAGCAUCCUUGUAUUGAUUAACUCUAAGGUUGGAAUAAUGAUCUUGUAGAUGAAAUCAGGAAGAAGAUUCACGGCACAAAGCAAGGGGAGAUGACUAUUGGAUAGUAUUUCGCAGCAUGGAUUUAAGUGCCGUGGCAAGGGGUCAUGCUGGAAACUUGCCAGCACGGUACGGCACGGUGCGUGCAGGUAACAAAAAAUACAUGUGUGCUGACACAUAAUGACAUGAAAUAUUUAUUUUCUUUAGCACACUACAACAAAAACGGUCUAUAGUGACACUUUUAAAUAUCGGUACAUGUCAAAAAAAGUGCUGGCUAAAUUACCGACACUUUUAAAAAGUAUUGCUAUUUGUGAGUUUGCUAGGUAUACAGUGACAAUUAAAGAGUGUCACUAUAACCUAAAAAGAGUGCUACUAAUUUACCAAUACUUAUUUAAGCAUUUAGCAACCGUCGAAACUCUACCUCGUUGGCUGCGGUGGCGGAGGAGAACGAGAGGGAAGGGCUCUUCGUCUAGAAUUUCAGUGAAUUGAGUGAGGGGAGAAGGGAAGAUGGUAAUCGAUUUUUUUUUUUUCUUUUCUCUUUGUAAUCGGGCCGAAUGGACUAGGUGGGGUGGGUUAAGUAGAGUAACCUUUUACUUUUUGUUGGAUUGGGCUUUAUAUUUAGGAAUUAAUAGAUAUUUUUUUAAGUUUUGGCAUAAAUGGAACACUUACACAAAAGUGUCCCAAACAUGUGUCUCUAUAACCUAAUUCUGUUGUAGUGGCAACAAAGUUUUCUAGCGGUUUAUUAUGUAUCAUUAUCAAAUUUUUUGAACUUUAUUUGAGAUAAUUACUUAGUAAUUUGAAGAAUACAGGGUUUUGAGAUGUGCCAUCGGCACAGGGGGUUGUAUUGUGCCGAUAUUUUGUUGGCACGAUACCACACGAUAGAUACGGCCUGUGCCGAUGGGCACUUAAAUCCUUGCUUCGCAGUGUCUGCUAGUCUGUAGUAGGAGAUGGACUACUAUCAAGAUAUCCACAGUGGCUGCACAGGAGAUGCAAUCAAGUUUCAGAGGGUUUAAGAUUUCUCGGCUGGCCUACAACCUGAAUUUGAUCAAAUCAAGUUCAUGUCUAGGAAAGGAUCCUUUCCUGUCAGUACGGAAGACAUGCAUUUGUAGAGCAAGAGGAGAGCAGAUACCUGAUAAGUUAGCCUUGUUCAUCAAUUUCUUCCUCGAAGAAUGUAAAGGGAAAUCGGAUUAGAGGAAUUGAUAAAAGAAUGGCCAAAAAGAUCAGCAUAAAUGUGAUCACUGUGGGAGAACUGAACACACUUCGUCGACUGAUGUCUAAGCUUGCUUCAAUUCUACUUUCUCCACUAUCCAAUACUGCCACUGCUAAUUGUGCUUUGUUAGAUAUAGCUAUUAGUGCUUCUAGUUGCACGCGUAACAUAUUUCUCACCUCAAUUAUUGAUAGUUUAUUGGAUCAUUUCUUAUCCUACUUUCCUUCUUUAGGUUAGGAAAAAAAAAUUCAUAUUGCUAAUGGUUCCUAUCUUCUAUUUUUGGGAAAGGUUCCAUAGCAUACUUCUGAUCUAACCUUGUCCUCUAUUCUUCACGCUCCUAAUUAUCCAAACAAUCUUUUAUAUAUAAAUGUAAUAACUAGGGAUCUUAACUAUAACAUGAUCUUUUUUUCUUUUCAUUGGGUUUUUUAGAAACUGGAUAUGGGGAAAAUAAUUGUCUGUGGAAAGAUGCAUGAUAGGCUUUAUCUCCUAGAAGAAGGAACAGAUUGAUUAUAUAGAGUUAUAGACAUCAUUCUGCUCUCCCGAUUGAUGCGACAUCAGCCUGUCAAGAGAUACACCAAUAGCAUCGACGACUUGGUCAUCCUUCCUUUAGAAUAUUGAAACAAAUGAUUCCUCAGUUGUUUCAGCACUGUAAUCUUGAACGUUUGAAGUGUGAUGCUUGUAAGUACAAGCUAUUAAUUUCAAAACCUUACUUAAGAUAUUGUUAGGUACCUCUAAUUACAUUAUGCCUCUGAAAUUGUUUGAAUUUGCUUGUUUUGUACAUGUCACCGAAGGACAAAUGACAAACUUGAUCCUCGGGCCAUGAAGUGUCUUUUCAUUGGGUAUUCUGCUUCUCCAACGAGUUACAAAUGUUAUCACCGCAUACAAGGAUGACAUUCAUCACUAUGGAUGUUAUCAUGUUACCUUCAAGGAGCAUGUGGCCUGUUAUCACCGAUCAUCUCUUUAGGGGAAGAGUCAAUUUAAGAAAGAAGAGACGAAUGUUGAUACGACCGUUUAUGUUCCCAGAUGGACGUCAACACUUGAACUACGACAAAAUGAGGGAGAGAGGGAAAUGAUAUUAAGGGAGAGGAAUAGAGAAAUGAAAUCGAGUUGGGCGGGGAGAGAAAUGGAGUUGAGGCAGAGGGAGAGAAAGAUGAAGUUAAAGGAAAAAGGCAAAACAAUAUUCUGAGGAGACAGAAAAAAAGUGAUUGUGAAUAGCAAGCAUACACUUGAAAACGAAGAAAGUAUAAAUCUAUCAUGCACUCCUCACCUAGCUAAGAGCUCUCUCCGGAUCCAAUUCUUUUUAUCUCACCUCUCUCCAAGCCAAGAGCUAUCUACAUACCUAGUUCUUUCUUCUCAAUCUCCUCAAAGUCAUUGUCCGUCUCUUGCUCAUAUGAAGUCUUCCAAUUUUAAUCCUGUGAGUUCGAAAUCACUCUAAACAUCCAAUUUCUGAUCGACUUUGUUUUAUAUGCGCCAUUAUCUCCUUUGUAUAGAGCUUUUAUGUCAUCCUUGUCUUCUAUCUACAUUCUACAGAAUUGGAUGGAGGAACUUGUAGAUUCCAAGUGAAACGAAGCUAUGUUGAGGAGAUGAAAGCUUAGCGAAAUGAGACAUGGGAACUUGUUGAACUAUCUACUGGAAAAAGACUCGUCGGAUGCAACUGGGUUUUUAUUGUGAACUAAGCAUAAGGUAAACAUACAAGUCGAGAGAUAUAAAGUCAGACUUGUCACAAAAAAGUUUUACUCAAAUCCAUGGAGUUAAAUAUCAGGAGACUUUUGUUCCCUUUGCAAAACUAAACUCCAUUUGCAUUCUCCUAUCACGUGCUGCAAAUCUUGAAUGGGAGUAACAACAAUUAAAUCUGAAAAUUGCAUUUCUACAUGGUGACAUAAUGGAAGAAGUGUAUAUGGAGGUUGGUUUCUCAUCACAAAAACCAAUAGGGAAAAUGUGUGAAUUAAAAAAAGGUGCUAUAUGGCUUAAAGCAAUCAACAAGAGCUUGGUUUGACAGAUUUAGCUAAGCAAUGCCAGCAUUUGGGUAGAAGCAAAACAAUCCUGAUCAUAUACUAUUUACUAAAAAGAUGCAAUCAUAAAGUUGUCAUUCUCAUUGUUUAUGUUGAUGAAAUAGUGGUAAUUGGAAAUAAUGCAAUUGGAGAUGAACAAACUCAAGAAUUAUCUUGUACAAAAUUUUGAGAUAAAGGAUCUAAGAAAGUUGCAAUAUUUUCUAGGAAUUGAAGCGGCGAGAUCAUAAACAGGCAUAUUUAUAUCACAAAGAAAAUACAUUUUGGACUUGCUCCAACAAACUGGUAUGCUUGGAUGUGGACCAGCAGAUUCACCUACUGAGGCAGACUCACCUACUGAGGCAAAUCAUCGAUUGAAGGGUGAAUUAAGUUGGCGAAUCUAUUGAUUAGAAAAGGUAUCAACAAGUGGUGGGUAGAUUGGUUUAUAGGUCUCACACUCGAACUGAUAUAACAUGUGUGGUGAGUGUAGUUAGUUAGUAUAUUCUGCCUCACUUGAAGACAAUUUGUCGUAUUUUGAGGUACUCAAAAUCAUCUCCCGGAAAGUGGACUUCUCUUUGCAAAUGAUAGUCAUUUGAAAAUUGAAGCUUUUACAGAUGCAGAUUUGGAUGGCUAUCCAAAUGACGGAAGAUCUAUUUGAAGAUACUACACAUUUGUAAGAGGUAAUAGUUUAGUCACCUGGAGAAGUAAAAAGUAGAGAGUUGUUGUCAGAUCAAAUGCACAAGCAGUGCAUAGAGCUAUAGCAUAUGGCUUAUGUGAAUUGUCGUGGCUUAGAAAAAUUAUGCGUUAGGAUUGACAAAUAUCAAGCCACUAAUGUUUGCAAUGUGACAACAAAGGUGCCAUCAACAUAGCCCACAAUCCUGCACAACAUGAUAAGACAAAACAAAUUGAAGUUGAGUUGAAUUUUAUCAAGGAGCUGGAGAAGGGUAUCAUCUGCAUUCUGUUUGUGAAGUCACAGGACCGAACAGCAAACAUUCUCACUAAAGGACCUAGGAGUGUUUUAUUUAACGUUUUGUAUACACGAUGGGCAUAAGAAAUAUAUAUGCUCCAUUUUGAGGGCAGUGUUAGUUUAGUAUAAUUCCAAUCUUCUCAAAGACUUUUACGUAAAAAUGCAUUAUAAAUUAAUUAGUUUAGAAUUGCAGGUGUAAAAUCCCCUAAAACUCUUUUCCUCAUUCUUUUCUCUAUUAACUAUCAAGUUACAACAUGGUUAAGAAACUUUAGAGCUGUUACGACAAAAGCGGAAAAUAUUUAGUUUGUUGGGCACAAAAAUACCAAAAGAAAACCGAGAAGUAGAGAAGAAAAAUAAAUCACAUAAUUAUUUACAUGGUUCGGCCACGCAAGCGAAGACGAAGUACAAACUUUAAUUAUAACCGAAAGAGAACUGUACCCUCAAAAGAGAACCCAUACUUUUUCUUAUCUGCCGUACCAAAUCAAUAAAAUAAAAGGUAUAUGUAUUUUGACUAAAAUCUAAUGAGAAUAGGAAUAAUCUCAAAAAGAUAAUUAUAAUCUUAAGUUAACUUAAUGGGUUGACUAAAAUAAAAUAAUGAUAGAAAAUCUUCCGAUUCUAUAAUUCAAGACACAUCUAACAAAUGUUUUUUUUUUAAAAAAAUCUUCAAACACACUCCUGUGGUUUAGCGCUUUCUCACUUUAGUACCCUGUGAUUUGAAAUGCAUCACUUUAGUAUCCUGUGGUUGCAUUUUUCUCUCUCUGUUGCCCCCUCUAUUUAGCAUUUUUAUUAAACCAGUGAUAAAAUUAAAACCACAAGGUACUAAAGUGAAAAGCUAGUAAACCACAGGGGAGUAUAUGAAGUUUUCUCUUUAUGCUUUAACAACAAAGUUAACAAAAGGGCUGACAAAAAGAGAAAAAUAGAACCUUAGGAUAAUAAAGUGAUACACUUUUAAACCACAGGGUGUUAGAGUGAGAAAGAGCGCAACCACAGAGGGGGUACUUGAAGUUCUCACUAUUUUCUUGGCUGUACAUUUGGGGUGAAAGGCCAUCGGUUAUGGUACCCUGAUCCCAAAGCAUCUAAAUUUCUUAUUAGUAGGGAAGUUACUUUUGAUGAGUCUACUAUGUUUCACCUGAAAAAAGAGUCUUUUGUUGGCACACUUUUGAGAAAGUGAAGACCGUUAAGAAACAGGUUGAGUUUCAGAUUAAUGACUCAAUAUACCUGCAAGAAGUUCUGUGAUGCUCCAACUUCCCAAGGGGUCACCUAAAAUGCUUAAGCCGGGUUAAGAGUUUUAGCCCUAUUAUAUCGUAUAUAUAGGACUAUCUGGGGUUUCACAUACUCCCCCCAUUUAAGUCCUGACGUCCUCAUCAAACUCAGACUCACAAGUACCUGACAAUGUGAGACUCGUCUCGUUAGCCUAAACCGACCUUGUGGUGAGCUACGCUCCACCCACAAUACCCAACAGCAUGGGAGCUCUAUUAGAAAUUGUAUUAAAUAAAUAAUAUCCGUCCAAUUUAUUUAAUUUUUAAAUUAAAUAAAAAAUUAAGUAUAUUGUCUCAUCUUUUUAGAAAUGGAUGAAAAUCCUUUUCUGCUUUUGAAAACUUCUAUUUAUUCUAUUUUUUAAAUAGAAAAUAAUAUUAUCUCCUUGCAUCUUUUUUUAAAAAGAUUAAAAAUGCUCUCUUCACCUACGGUAGAACAAACAAAAUUUAACUAUUUUUUAUACAAUUAUAAUAAANUAAUAUUAUCUCCUUGCAUCUUUUUUUAAAAAGAUUAAAAAUGCUCUCUUCACCUACGGUAGAACAAACAAAAUUUAACUAUUUUUUAUACAAUUCUACUAAAGAUUUAGAAAUUAUUGAAUAUAUAAAUAUCACACUCAAUCUGAAUUAUUUUAAAAAAUAUAAUAUUCUUUUUCAAAUAUAUGUAUACGUGCAUUGCACGUACACUUUGCUAGUGCAUACAAAUACAGAUACAUAUAUGUAUAUGUAUCCAAAUAUAUGUACCAUUUGUGUAUAUAUUGUUGAAAAAUUAUCUUUCUAAAUCUUUAGUAGAAUAUUCUUUUAAAUAAUUUUUGAAUAGAAAGAAUAUAACUUUAGUUUUGAAAACCGCAAGUAAAAAUUAAACAGUUACUACUAUAGAUAUUAAGAGGUCAGAUGAGGCCUGUGAGUCGAGGCGUGUGAAAGCAUUGUCUUAGAAGCGAGAUUGUCCCUCCACGUGCGAGGCUUUGACAAUCACUCCUAGCGAUACAAUGACCACUGCCCACCCCGUCGGCAUAUCUUCAGGAUGGCGCAACACGAACCCAAUAAACUUUCAGAGAUCCAGCAAAAAUGGCAAUGUGAAGUUGAGUGCAUAAUAGAUGUAAAAAUCAGCGUGAAAGAAGGUGAGGAAGAAGAGUAUUUUGCAAGCUCGGGUUAUGUCUUAUGCACCAACACAAGUGCACCUUCACUUACAUAUUGGAGAGAUUUAGAAUAGUUCAAUGGGAAAAUCCUGGUCAAGAUCUAGCUCCUUCCCGAGGUUGGACUAAGAUAUGAUUCCUUUCCGAAGUUGGACCAAAUCUGGACAAUAUCCAGAUUAGAUCUAGUCAAGAUCUCGUAUGGCUCCUUCCCAAGGUAAGGCCAUCAUUGGAUAAAAAUAAAAUAAAAAGAAAAAAGUGUAAAUGAACCGAGUUCACGCACGCCGCCACCCGGCCCGGCUCGUGCUCGUGCUCGUGCGUUUAGUCGAGAGCUCCACUCUCAUGUUCUCCCAAGCAACUAAAGUUGAGAGUGAGAGUGUAUAUAAAGUGUAGUAAAAUGCCUUUGGUUUCCAAUGUGGAACUAAACUUCACAUGUGGAAAUUAAGGCACGGGCUCCCAAGUAAGACUACAGAGAGUUGAGCUGCCCAGGAAGCCCAUGGACCAAAUUCAAGUUUUAAAUCACUGUUUUAAAAAAUUAAAACUAACAUAUAUAUAUAUAUAUAUAUAUAUAUAAUAUAUAGAACUAGGCUGGAAUACUAUCAAUAGCACUAAGCUAUUGGUGCUAUUAGGUUUUUAGUCCUUGGAUUGAGAAAUGUGUGGUUACGCUAAUAUGGGCCCUCUAGGGUUGAGUGGGUGCUUGGUUGAAUAGUAUAAUCUAACGGGUAAAAAUAAUCAAAGGGGUUAAAUCUACCGAUGGAAAACUCGAUAGUACCAAGCUCUUGGUGCUACCGAUAGUAUUCCAGCCGGACUUCAUAUAUAUAUAUAGAUAUAGAUCUAGGCUGGAAUACUAUUAAUAGCACCAAUGACUUGGUGCUAUUAAGUUUUCUGCCCUUGGAUUAAAAGAUGUGUGAUUAGGAUGAUGUGGGCUCCCUAGGGUUGAGUGGGUGGUUAGUUGAAUGGUAUAAUCGAAUGGAUGAAAAUGAUAAAAGAUGUAAAUCUAACGACAGAAAACUUGAUAGCACCAAAUGCUUUAUGCUAUCGAUAGUAUCCCAGCCGGACUCUAUAUAUAUGAGCUAGGCUGGUAUACUAUCGGUAGCACGGAAGCCUCCGUGCUACCAAGUUAUUUUCAAUGAUACGGCUUUCAAAUCAACGAUCAACUCCAUUAGACUUGAUCUACACAAUUAAAAGUAUUUGGAAACUAAAUUUCAUAAUUUUUCGAUAUCAUUUAGCUAGUGAUUAAAAGGUCUCAAAAUUGACAAUUUUAAUAGUAGAUGUGAUGCGUUUGUGAAUUUAACGGUGUAAAACAAUCCAAAUCUGAUGAAAUUUUUAUAGAAAAUUCCUUUAACUAUUUAGAGUAAGAUCAGUACCUCUGAUCUUAAAUUCAAGUCUUUUAUCAUCAUUUUUUAUGAGAUUUUUAUUUUUAGCUGUUCAUUUUUAGGCUAUUCAUUUGAUAGGUAAAUGAUGCCGAAAAAUUAUGAAAUUUAGUUUCCAAAUACUUUCAAUAGUGUAGAUCAAGUCUAACGGAGCCGAUAGUCGAUUUGGAAGCCGCAUCAUUGAAAACAACUUGGAAGCACGGAGGCCUCCGUACUACCAAGUUGUUUUCAAUGAUGCGGCUUCCAAAUCGACGAUCGGCUCCGUUAGACUUGAUCUACACUAUUAAAAGUAUUUGGAAACUAAAUUUCAUAAUUUUUCGAUAUCAUUUACCUAUCAAACGAGUAGUCUAAAAAUAAAUGGCUGAAAAUAAAAAUCUCCUAAAAAAUGAUGAUAAAAGACUUAUAGAAAAUUCUUUUCACUAUUUAGAGUAAGAUCAGUACCUCUGAUCUUAAAUUCAAGUCUUUUAUCAUCAUUUUUUAUGAGAUUUUUAUUUUUAGCUGUUCAUUUUUAGGCUAUUCAUUUGAUAGGUAAAUGAUGCCGAAAAAUUAAGAAAUUUAGUUUCCAAAUACUUUCAAUAGUGUAGAUCAAGUCUAACGGAGCCGAUAGUCGAUUUGGAAGCCGCAUCAUUGAAAACAACUUGAUAGCACGGAGGCCUCCGGGCUAGCGAUAGUAUGAUGUACAUGUGUAUGUAUUUAUAUAUAGAGCUAGGCUGGUAUACUAUCGGUAUAUAUAUAUAUAUAUAUAUAUAGAAUUGAGCUAGAAUACUUUUAGAAGCACCAACCCCUUGGUGCUUCUAGGGUUUAAGCCCUUGGAUCUACUCCUUGAUUACUAGUAACCCUUGGAUUAAACACUAUUCCACCUACCACCACCUACCACCACCUAACACCAUCAUCCCAACCUUACAACUCUGAUCAUCCAAUGGCCAAAAACUCAAAAGCACCACCCUCUUGGUGCUUUUGAGAGUAUUCUAGCUCAACAAUAUAUAUGUAUGUGUAUGUGUAUGUGUAUGUGUAUGUAUAUGUAUAGAGCUAGACUGGUAUACUAUCGGUAGCACGGAGGCCUCCAUGCUACCAAGUUGCUUUUAAUGAUGCGGCUUCCAAGUCGACGAUCGGCUCCAUUAGACUUGACCUACAGUAUUGAAAGUAUUUGAAAACUAUAUUUCAUAAAUUUUUGGUAUCAUUUACCUAUCAAACGAGUAGUCUAAAAAUAAAUGGCUGAAAAUAAAAAUCUCCUAAAAAAUGAUGAUAAAAGACUUGAAUUUAACAUCAGAGAUACUGAUCUUACUCUAAAUAGUGAAAAGAAUUUUCUAUAAAAAUUUCAUCAGAUUUGGAUUAUUUUACACUGUUAAAUUCACAAACGCAUCACAUCUAGCAUUAAAAUUGUCAAUUUUGAGACCUUUUGAUCACUAGCCAAAUGAUGUCGAAAAAUUAUGAAAUUUAGUUUCCAAAUACUUUUAAUAGUGUAAAUCAAGUCUAACGGAGUCGUUCGUCGAUUUAGAAGCCGUAUCAUUGAAAAACAACUUGGUAGCACGGAGGCCUCCGUGCUACCGAUAGUAUACCAGCCUAACUCUAUAUGUAUAUGUAUAUAUAUGUAUAUGUAGAACUAGGCUGGAAUACUAUUAAUAGCACCAAUGACUUGGUGCUAGUAAGUUUCUUUCCUUACAUUAAAAGAUGUGUGGCUAGGAUAAUGUAGGCCCUCUAGAGUUGAGUGGGUGGUUAGUUGAAUAGUAUAAUCGAACGGAUGAAAAUGAUAAAAGAGGUAAAUCUAAUGGCAAAAAACUUGAUAGCACCAAAUGUUUCGUGCUAUCGUUAGUAAUCCGAGGUUAUGUAUAGAGUAAGGCUAUGGAGUUGUGAAAAGCACAAGACUUGGUCUUGUUAAACGUUUUUUACCGUUAAGAUCUACGCCUUUUUGAUCAUUUAAAACUCCGUUGUAGUAUACUUAUCAAAACCACCCCCACUCAACCACUCAGGGGCGCACAUCAUCCUUAAACCGCUACGAUCACUUAAUCAAUGCCAAAAAUCUACAAGCCAAUCCAAACUAACUUGGUAUUUAAAAGCAUAGGAGUCUUAAUUAUACAUAUAUAUAAUAACAUAUAUAUAUAUAUAUAUAUUAUAUGGUCCGGCUACUAUAUUCUAUUGUGAAAGUACGAUCGAGCCUUCGGUACCAUAAGUUGUUUUCGAUAUAAGCUUUCCGAUAUCGACGAUCCACACCGUUAAAGUUAUUUACGGCAUUUAUAACUUUCUAAAAAUCAAAUUUAUAAUUUUUUGACGAUCAUUUAUCUUAUGAUCAAGAGGUCACCAAAUUGACAAUAUUUUAACGGCCCGGUAAUGGGAAUACUUGCUAGUUUAACGGUUAUGUAAAAAGAUCGGAAUUUGUUGAAUUUUUGAUAGAAAAUUCUAUUCAUACAUAGUAUAAGAUGCAAUAACUCCGAUCUUGAAUUGAGAGGAUCGAUUAUUCUUUUUAUAGGACGUCGUUUCGAUUGUGACCGUUCAUUAUUUGUGCCCACUGAUGGACUUUAUUAUGAUUUCAGAAAUUUACGAUAAUUUAUUUUCUAGGAAGCAUGGACUCCUAUUACUAUAUAUAUAUAUACACACACGUAUAUAUAUAUAUAUAUAUAAUUAAGCUCCUAUGCUUUUAAAAGUACCAAGUUAUUGGUGCUUGUAGAUUUUUAGCCAUUGGAUUAAGAAAUAUACGGUUAGGAUGUUGUGAGCCCCCUAGGGUUGAGUGACUUGUUGGUUGAAUAGUAUAAUCUAAUGGUUGAAAAUGAUCCGAGAAAUAGAUCUAACGGUAAAAAACUUACAAGCACCAAGUGUAAAUAGUUACGUUUAACUUUAAGGUUGUAACAACUCAAAAGAUUAUCAUUAAGCACUGAAAAAUUACCUUAACCGAAGAUAAUUACUGUCCCAUAUAUAUAUAUGCUAACUCCACUUUUGUAUCUCCUCAACCCAACUGACCAUUAAUUACUGAUCAAUCUCCACUCUCUUCCAUGCUUCACAAUUAAUAUCCAUUUACAUAAAUACUCUGAUUGCAAAAUUUAAUUGAAUAAUGUUAUCCCUCUUUCUCUGUUCAAAAGGAAAAAAUGUGGAAAUGACCAAAAACAUUUUAAUUUAGUUAAGAUGAUCAACCAUGCAUACAUCAAUAUCACAGGACUUUAAUUAGAUGCAAUAUUAUUUAAAAAGGAUAGCAGGUAGUCUGCAUAUCCAUGAAUUUCAUAUACCCAAUGAUACAUGAGGAUACUAACCGUUCCUAGCGCAAGUGGCAAAAGACUUGAUAGUUGGUAUCCGAGGCCCCAAGUUUGAAUCCUAAUUGAUUUAUACUUUCAACUAAAUUUUCUAAUUGAUUUAUAUUUUCAGCUAAAUUUAUUUUUAAAAGAAAUAAACAAAGAAGGUAACAUGCUACCUUUUUCUCAAAAGAAAAAAAAAUGAUCCAUGAUCAGGAUUAAUUAACUUACAGAAACAAAAUGCAUAUAAAUUACAUUAGAUGCAAGAACAUACCAAGAACUGUAUUAGUUCUAAAAAUUUGCAAACAAGGAUAUUCGUCUAGCAUAUCUUCAAAGUAUAGUUAUGAAGCACUUACCUUUACCAACUGUAGACCCAGAUACUAAUACUUUGUUUGGAACUACAAUAAAAAGAAAAUUUUGGACUUCUAGUAUCUUCUUUUAGCUGUUUCCUCCUACAGCUGGCCAGUAGUAAGAGUUAGCCUACAUACGAAACUUCCUAAGAAUUGCUAACCAAUGAGGAGGAACUUCAUAUAAGCCACAGUCCAUAAGAAUUGCUAAGAUUUUUCUCGAAAGUAAAUGGCUCUCUCUCUCUCUCUCUUUCCUCUUACUUUUCCACCCUACUGUUCAGGAAACUCAAUUUCUAAAUAUAUGGGAGCACCAGCUCCGAUUAAUCCCCCAACUUUGUGAACCACCUUCCUCAACAUUCUCCUUUGCGUCCACAUCAUACGUACAUAUAUAGAGAGUGAGUCUAACUAAAUUUCACUUCAAGAGUCGAUCUCCUGAGGCUCAGAAAAAUCAGGUGGCAGAAGCACACAUAUAUAAGCGUACGUGUGUGUAUAUAUAUAUAUAUAUAGUAUAGUUAUAUAUAACAUGCACCAACAUGACAUCAACAUGAACAGAUGUGUAGUAUUGCCAAAUGCUACCUAGCUAGCUAGCUCCACGGCCAACGAUUAACACGAUAUAUAUCAACCACAAUAAACAAUCACUCUACGCACCUUAGACCUUGUCAGGAUCCCGAAUCGUAGAGAGCAGACGACAACACCCCGGCGAAAUUAUCCAGCAUUUGCGGCUAGAAUGCGUCGUCGAGCGCAUCGAACGGGCUGGCGCCAGCACGCGGGCCUCCGCGUAGAUCUACGACGUCGGGAUUGCCGCCGGCGUACGAAGAUCCGGGCGCGGCGUGGCUGCGGAAGGUAGUAGUAGUGUCGGGCUUCGAGGGGACAUCGUGGCCGCCGUCGGCGUCGGCCUCAGGGAACAGCGAUUGGUCGGGGAAGGUGGAGUCUUGGCCCGUGAGCUCCUGGACUAGUGCCCGGAACUCGGCCGGGUUGGCCGCCUUGACCUUCAUGGGGUUGGAGAUGUACACCACCUUGACGGGCUUCUUCAUCUUGCCCUUGUCAGAAUGCUGCUUGGGGUUCUUCCUGCCGUCGCCGGUGCGGAGCUUUUCCAUUUCUGAUUCUGAUGAUCAGCUUCAGUGGAGGGGGGAGUGGGAGGGGCUUGGCUUGUAAGGAGAGGAGGUGAAGGACGACUCAUUACUGUGGUUUUGGCUUCAGCAUACACACAAGGAGAAGAGCACACAUGAAAGGGGUACAUUUAAUUGAAUCUCGAAUAGUGAGAGGACGGGUUUCGUCGUGGCGGAGAUGGUGAUUCCGUAACAUGGAAUUGGGAAAGAAGUGGGAAAGAGUGGGGCAACAGAAAUUUACUGCAUGCACCCUGUGCAUGCACUCGGUGCACUGUGCGUCCUACUCUUGAGAAUUCUAUUAUGUGACAUAUCAUAAAGUAUCGCACGGUUAACCGUGUGUCGCCCGAUGAUAAGUCUUCUUUACUAAUACUUCAAGGAUUCUUAGGCGAUCCAAUGGUUAAAACAUUACAAACACAGAUGCGCAUGUACUUUUAAAUGCGCCUGGUCCGACUUAUAUGUUUUUAGAAACACGAUGGCUUCUAUACUAUCAAAUCAUUUUCAAUGCUGAGACUUCCAUAUCGACAAUCAGCUCCGUUAGACUUAACCAAGAAUAUAUUAGAUUUUAUUGAAUUUUUAUGAUUUAAAACUUGUUAAGACCUCUUGAGAGCCCAAUAAUUGUUAAUGGGCCGCUUUGGGAGCCCAACUAAAAUUUUCAUAUUUGAUGUUUAGUCCCACAUUAGAAAUCAAAAGGGUGUUUGUUUCUUUUAUAUAUUCUUUUAUUCUCAAACUAAUUGUUUGGAGAAAAAUGAGAGUAAUGUUCUCGUUUAAAUACACACACGCACGCAUGGCACGAGUCCGAGCCGAGCCGGGCCGAGCGGGUGGCGCGCGCGGUCCAUACACUCGAUUUAUUUUAUUUUUAUUUUGUUGGUUUUAUCUUUAUUUUAUAUCUUAUCUUUAUCUUUAUCCUAAUCCUAAUCCUUAUCCGUAUAAUUUUAGGCUUAUCUUGUUCUACACGGAUUUAACGCGUUGAAGCAAGAUUCUCACAUAGAUUAUAAAUAUGGGGUAAGGUUGCAUGAGUUAAUUAAUAAUAAUAAUAACCCGAGCAUAUCUAAAACCUCUCGUCUUUUUCUACUUUCUGAAUUUUCGCCGAAUUUUCUUUUGCUGGAUCUAAAGCUGGUUGGGUUCAUCUUGCACCACCUUAGAAGCAUGCUGACAGGGUGGAACGUGAUCGUUAUAUUGCUAGGAGUAAUUGCCAGAAAGUCUCGCACAUGGAGGGACAAUUUCGCUUCUAGGACAAUACUCUACACGUCUCGAUCCACUGGCCUUAUCUAAACCUUUUCUUUAUAGUAUUUGUUAUUUAAUUUCUUUCGCGGAAUAUUUCGAAACUUAUAAUUUAAAUUUUCGAAUUGGUUUUUAAAAGAAUAUUGUAAUAAAAAUUCAGAAAAAUUUUUCAAACAGAGUAUUGGAAAUAGCAAGAAAACAAAUUUCGUUCUUUUUUAUAUCAUUUAUUUAGUAAUCAAAAUAGCUCAAAAUCAACGGCUGAAAAUAAAAAUAUCACAAAAAGUAAUGAUAUGACACUAAAAUUUUAAAUCAAAAAUAUUGGUCGUAUUUUAUAUAGUGUAAAUAAUUGGGUAAACUUCAGACACCAUCCAUGUGAUUUCGUACGUUCUCAUUUUAGUACCCUAUAGUCUAAAGUGUAUCAAUUUAAUACCCUAUGGUUUUAUUUUAUUCUUUUCGUCAGCUCUUCCGUUAAUAUUUCGUUAAAUUAGAUACAAAAAACUUCAGAUACAUCACCUAGGUUUAUCGAAUAUUCACUUUAGUACCCUUUAAUUUUAAUUUUGUCACUGAUUUAACGAAAAAAAUUAGUGAAAUGAAUAAUUAAAAAUAAAAAUGAAAACAUAAGACACUAAAUAUGGAUAUUUAGUGAAGUUUUCCUAAGUAAUUUUCUAUCAAAAUUUUAUUUAAUUUGGAUAUUUCUACACCAUCAAAUGUGCAAACAGCUCAAUACAACCAUUAAAAUUGUUAAUUGUUAAUUGAUAUUGAAAAAUUACUGGACUUAUUUUUUACAUACUUUAAAUACUCUAAAUUGAAUCUAACGGAGCCGUCCCAGCAUCGAAAAUGACUUGAUAGCAUGAAAGUCACCGUACUUUUAAAAGGAUGCAAAUUUAACUUGCUCUCUCUUUCUCUCUCUGUAUAUAUACACACACUAAUUAUAGUGCACGUGCAAUGCACGUCACAUUUACUAAUUAAUUUAAAUUUAAAUAUAAUUUAAUAUAAAAUAAAAGUUAAAUCUGUUUCGAUUUAAAUUUAAAUAGUAAUUGGUGGCAUUAGUCUAUUUUUCAAUUAAUUAAUUUUUUAAAUUUGAUCUGUUUCGAUUUAUUUUUAGUUUGUUAAUUAUAAUUAUUUUUUUUAUAAUAUGUAUGAAAUAUUUUUUUUAUUUUAUUUAGGAUUUCGUUACUUCAUUUCUAUCCGUUUUUAUAUAUAGUAUAGAUAUAUAUUAGAAAAAAAAAAUCUUCUAUCCUAGAUACAAUGUUAGUACAGUGUGUAACGUGCAUUAAAAUAAUACGCCUAUAAAAGAUGCAUUCGAUGAUUUAUAUAUUAAAAGCGCGCAACUCAAAAUCAAAUUUAAUUUAGAAAAAAUUGUUUAUAUACCCCUGAAAAAUUUUCGACUUUUCGAUUUACCCUUCUUAGAAGACUAAUAUUAAAAAUAUCCUCUUUACGUUCCAACCUAUUUCUAAUAUAUUCCUAGAGUUAAAAUUUAUUAAUUAACUCUGUUAUCUCUAUAAAAUUAUUAUUUUGCCCUUUCAAAUAUACCCUUCCACCAUCACCGACUUUCUUAUUUGCCCUUAAAGUCAGGGGCACAAAAAAUAUUUUGACUUUUGGUCUUUUCCAAUAUACCCCUCUAUCAUCAUCAACAUUUCUUAUUUGAUUUUAAGUUAAUGGCAAAAUUGGUAUUUUAAUUUUUUUUAACUGUGAUAAAUAUUUAACUCACGUUUAACCCAAAUUAACUUAACAGGAGAUAACUGCGGGGGUAUUUUGCAAUAACGGUGGAACAUAUGAAGGGUAUUUUAAAAGGAAAAAAAAAUAGGAAUAAAUCAGAUAUUUUCAAAUAUAUGAGGGAUACAUAGACAAUUAUCCCUUUAAUUUAUUAUAUAAAUUUGUAAUUAUUUAAAAGACUUACACAUUAAAAAAAAAUCCUCGAUGUUACUAAGUAUGAAUUCGUGAAUUUGUAGGACUGUUUAAUUCAAAGUGUCUUGGUACUAAAGGUCAUUUAACUUAAGCUAUUAGGCCAAAAGAAGUUAGAGAUCAAAGCAUGCAGAGAGUGCCUUCUAAUUUAUUUUUUGUGAAACGGCAUAAAUUAUAUUCUGACCUAAUUUGCGCAAAUCUAAAAAAUAUAAAUUCUUUUAUAAAAAUAAAUUAUUAUUAUAUUUUACGCAUAUUCUUUGCGGUCCCAAACUGGGCCUAGGGUAAAAUAAUUUCAGUCAAAUGUUUGGAAAUUUUCAUAUAGAGGUUUUUUUAAUUAGACGUUAUUUGUUUACUUAAAUAUUUGGGGCAAUAUUCAAACUGUACGCACGGAUACGCCCGGUGCAAGAAAUACAGUGAGAGGAUAAUGCUGUAAGGAUACGAAAAGACAGGGAGUAGAUACGGCAAGCCAAGUGCUCGGAUCGCUUGUUGGGGGUGAACAUCGAACUUCAAUAAUUAUGCCACGUGGCUCGCUAAGAGCGGUUGAGAUCCUACGGAGGUGACGUCAGUCGUACGCAUGCCAGUAACAUACCUGUAAUAAAUGGGAUUUGGCUGUUGAAAUCAACUGCGCUUGGUCAGAUGUGCCCUCACGUGUCUAAACUUUUUAGUACUCCUUACCUCUGCAUGAAACUAUAUAUUUCUAAUAAAACUGUCUAAAAUAUCCGAUAUACUAUACCCGACUCGGACCCAAUCCGGAUACUAUCCAGAUCCGAACCGGACCUGAUAAAAAAUGGAUAGUAUACGGGUAAAAAAAAAAACUGAUUAAAGUUUCGGAUAUGGGUCCGGAUAUUUUAUACCCAUAUCCGAUUUGGACCCGACCCGAAUCCAACUUUUAAAUGGAUAGGGUCCGGAAUAGUUUUUAAAUUCGGACCCUGACCCGGACCCGGACCCGGACCCGAUGAAAUAUUUGAUAGUAAAUAAAAAAAUUGUGAACUUUUAAAGUUGAGAGAUCAAUUUUAAUAGGACUUAUCGACGAGGGAAAACAUUGAAACCCUAGCCGCUUUUUUACUAUUUUCUUUUUUCAAUUUUUUUUACUAUUUGUUUUUAACUCUUUAUUUUUUUUUUGUUUCAUUUCCGCCUAAGAGUUUUUUAUGAAACAAUAUUUUCAUCGUCGUCAUCAUUAGCGAUAUUAAUCCUUUACAAGUGUNCUAAGAGUUUUUUAUGAAACAAUAUUUCUAUCGUAGUCAUCAAUCUAUUUUUUUUUAAUGAAUAUUCUGGCCAGUAAAUUUUCUGAUUCAUCUUUAUUUUUUUUUCCUUUUUUUUUGAAUGUUAGUAUAUAAUAUUAGUAAUUACUACAACUUAUAUUCUCUUUAUCUGUAAUAUGCUAUCAUAAUUUUUUAAUUUUUGUAUGUUUACAUAUAAAAUUAUUUUAACUUUAGACUUUUAAUCAGUAAAUAUAAUGGCCGAAACAGAUUUUGCCCAAACAAUUUAAUAAAGUCUAUACAAAAAUAUAUAUACAGAUACCCGUACCCGACCCGUAUCCGGUUUUGAACGGGUAGUAUACGGAUAGUCACUACCCAGACCCGCUCAAAUAGACACCCAGACCCGCUCAAAUAGACCCGAUAGGUAUAUUAGUAACUUAAGUAUCCAGGUCCGGAUCCGACCCGAAGUUAAAUAGGUUUUUUUUUUUUUUUUUUUUUUUUUUUUUUUUUUUUUUUUUUUUUUUUUUUUUUUUUUUUUUUUUUUUUUUUUUUUUUUUUUUUUUUUUUUUUUUUUUUUUUUUUUUUUUUUCUAACCAUUUCUUUUUAGGGUACAGAUACAGUAUAUCUACUACCCAGACCCGACCCGGUCCACGGACACCUUUAUUUUCUAAGGAUAUGUUUGAUCCCACGUAAAUUUAUAAAAUUUUUUUUUAUAUUAUUUAGUGUUUAGUUUGUAUUAAAAAAUAGGAAUAAUUUUAUCAAUAUUCUUUUAAAAAAUCGUAAUUUCAUGAAUAACCCUCUAAACUAGAAAAUAUCAUCAAUACUCCUCUUAAAAUCAAAAAUAUUCACAGAUACCCUUUAGGGCGCAUUUGGUUCAAGUUAUAUAAUAUUACAGAGUAUUUCGAUAUACCCAGGUAUCUUGAAUUUUUAAAAGAGAUUACUCCUUAUACUGCAUUAGCGCGUUUGGUUUAAUACAGUAAUGUAAUGCUGGAUUGCAGUGGUUAUAGCAUUAAUAUGUUUGAUUCUAUCUAUAAAAUUCAGUAAUCUAGAUAAUAAAGUAUAGUCUAUUACAAAAUUGUCCUUAACCCAUAUUUUGUAAACUUUUUUUUUUUUACUGUUUACAAAUAAUAUUUACUAAAUUUUAUUUUUUUUAAAUAAUUUUUUUUAAAUUUAAAAANUCUUUUUGAUACCGGUGCAUCGCAUUCCUUUGUUAGCCGAGCAUUUGCAUAGUUACAUGGUCUAAAGUUAGAAGCAUUGUCUCAGGUACGAGAGGUGUAGAUCCCAGACCAUGUCUUGCAGGUCGUGGAGUGUUGUUGGUCAUGUCCAGUGCAGCUAGACUCGUGGAUUAUUCCCACAGACCUGUUGGUGUUAGGGCAGCUGCAGGACUUCGACGUCGUGCUCGGGAUGGAUUGGCUGGCGCGGUACUAUGCUACGAUCGACUGUGGAGCGAGGACGGUGACAUUCCGCGAGCUAGGCCAGGAGGAGUUCACUUUUAGAGGCUGCAGGAGCACGCUGUUUGUUACUUGGAUAUCUUCGGCGAGGGCUCGACAGAUGCUGAGCAGUGGGUGUAUCGCUUUCCUAGCGACAGUUGUGGAGGUACCUACGACGGCGUCGGGACUCGAGGACAUCCCAGUAGUCCGCGAGUUUCCGGAUGUGUUUCCCCCUGAGUUGACGACGUUGCCGCCGGAGAGGGAGAUUGAGUUUGUGAUUGAUGUAGUUCUUGAAACUGCACCAAUCUCGAAGGUACCUUAUCGGAUGGCGCCGGCAGAGCCGAGAGAGCUAAAGGCACAGCUUCAGGAUUUGAUGGAUAGAGGGUUUGUGAGACCCAGUGUUUCACCUUAGGGAGCGCCGGUGUUGUUUGUGAAGAAGAAGGAUGGUUCACUUAGGCUGUGUGUGGAUUACCGGGAGCUGAAUAAAGUGACCAUCAAGAAUAAGUAUCCCUUGCCGCGCAUUGAUGAUUUGUUUGAUCAGCUGCAGGGAUCUUAUGUCUUCUCGAAGAUUGAUCUCCAGUUAGGUUACCACCAGUUGAGGGUGAGAGCCGAGGAUGUUCCCAAGACGGCUUUUCGGACUCGGUACGGGCAUUAUGAGUUCACGGUGAUGCCUUUUGGAUUGACGAAUGCCCCUGCCGCAUUCAUGGAUUUGAUGAACAGAGUGUUCAAGCGGUUCUUGGACAGGUUUGUGGUAGUCUUCAUCGACGAUAUCUUGAUUUAUUCCCGGAGUGAUGCUGAGCAUGAGGAGCACUUGAGGAUUGUGCUAUAGCUUCUGCGCGAGAAGAAGUUGUAUGCCAAGUUAAAGAAGUGCGAGUUCUGGCUACGGGAGGUUGCUUUCUUGGGCCACGUGAUUUCAGCUGAGGGCGUAGCAGUGAACCCGAAGAAGAUUGAGGCGAUUCGAGAUUGGCCUAGACCGACGACGGUGACUAAGGUACGGAGCUUCCUGGGACUGGCAGGAUAUUACCGUCGAUUUGUGGAAAGCUUUGCGAAGCUUUCCACAUCCCUCACACGCUUGACGCGGAAGGGGAUUCGUUUUGUCUGGAGCGACGACUGUCAGAGGAGCUUUGACAAGUUGAGACUGAGGUUGACGUCGGCUCCUAUCCUUGCCCUUCCGGUGAUGGGGGAUGGAUUCGUGAUCUAUAAUGAUGCAUCGCACAGUGGACUUGGUUGCGUGCUGAUGCAGCAUGGUAGGGUGAUUGCUUAUGCUUCACGGCAGUUAAAGGAUUAUGAGAAGAAUUACCCUACGCAUGACUUGGAGCUUGCCGCGGUGGUUUUUGCUUUGAAGCUCUGGCGGCAUUACUUGUACGGCGAGCACUGCGAGGUCUUCACCGAUCAUAAAAGUCUCAAGUAUCUGUUCACACAAAGGGAGCUGAACCUGAGGCAGCGCCGGUGGUUGGAGUUACUGAAGGACUAUAACAUUAGUAUUCAGUGUCAUCCCGGCAAGGCGAAUGUUGUGGCAGAUGCGUUGAGCAGGAAGUCAGUGCAGAGCCUGAGUUUGAGGAUUACUGAGCAGAGACCCCUACUCGAGGAGCUACAGCGGCUGGGACUUGAGAUAGUACCCCCUGGGUCUAUGGCGAGGCUGACAUCUCUAGUUUUGCAGCCCACUCUGUUGGAUAGGAUCCGAGAAAAACAGAGUGGAGAUCCGUACUUGUUGAGGAUUAGAGAGCAGCUAGACAGGGGGCAGGCUGAGGGUUUUGCUUUGGACAGUUCGGGAGUACUACGGUACAGGCACCGACUGUGUGUGCCUGUGGAUUCUGAGAUCCGAACAGACAUUCCGAGAGAGGCUCAUUGUUCUCCUUAUACGGUCCACCCAGGUGGGACCAAGAUAUAUAAGGACUUAAAGGCACGGUUUUGGUGGAAUGGAAUGAAGAGGGACAUUGGCAGAUAUGUGGCUCAGUGUUUGACUUGCCAACAGGUGAAAGCCGAGCAUCAGGUACCUGCUGGCAAGCUUCAGAGUCUGCCAGUGCCAGAGUGGAAGUGGGAGUACAUCACUAUGGAUUUCGUUGUUGGAUUGCCUAGAGCGCAGGGUAGCUACGAUGCUAUUUGGGUGAUAGUGGACAGACUGACCAAGUCUGCUCACUUCCUACCGGUUCAGACUACCUGGUCCAGAGAGAGACUUGCGCAGCUAUACUUGGAUGAGAUCGUCAGGCUGCACGGCGUGCCAGUGUCGAUUAUGUCAGACAGAGAUCCGAGGUUUGUAUCUCAGUUUUGGAGGAGUCUUCGGACAGCCUUGGGCACUCAGUUGCAUUUUAGCACGGCGUUCCACCCACAGACAGAUGGUCAGUUAGAGCGGACCAUACAGACUCUAGAGGACAUGCUUAGGGCAUGUGUCCUGGAUUUUGGAGGAGGGUGGUAUCGACAUGUGAGACUGGUUGAGUUUGCGUACAACAACAGCUAUCAAACGAGCAUUCAGAUGGCUCCGUUUGAGGCGUUGUAUCGACGCAGAUGUCGAUCCCCCCUGUUUUGGAGCAAUGUGGGUGAGCGGAGGACACUUGGACCGGACAUUCUACUUGAGGCUGAGGAAAAGGUGAGAGUCGUUCGACGACACCUUCUGACAGUACAGAGCCGACAGAGGAGCUACUCCGAUACCAGGAGACGAGACUUGGAGUUUCAGGUUGGAGAUCAUGUUUUCCUCAAAGUCUCGCCGUCCAGAGGGAUACGCCGAUUUGGAGUACGUGGAAAGCUUAGUCCACGGUUUGUUGGCCCUUUCGAGGUAUUGGAGCGUAUCGGACCGGUUGCAUACAGGAUAGCUCUACCCCCGCGACUUGUUGGCAUCCACGAUGUUUUCCACGUCUCAGCAUUGAGGAGAUACGUCUUCGAUCCCACUCACAUGAUCGACUUCACUCCAUUGGAGAUCGGCGAGGAUCUGAGAUACGAGGAGCGACCGUUGCGGAUUCUUGCUCGGGAGACGAAAGAAUUGCGCAACCGGGUCAUCCCGUAUGUGAAGGUGCAGUGGAGCAAUCACGAGGAGCGGGAGGCGACUUGGGAGCCUGAGACGGUAAUGAGGGAGUCCUACCCCGACCUGUUCGAUGCCCCGUGUUGAGGUAUGUAUUAAGUUUCGAGGACGAAACUUUUUAUAGUGGGGGAGGAUGUAGUAUUCUGAUAUAUAUAUUUUUUUUUAGUUGGUAAGUUGGGUGGAUGGAAUGCCAUGUGCACCUAACCCCUCCCCCCCCCCCCCCCCCCCCCAAUGCAUGCUUAUCAACUUAGUUCACUCAGGUUGUACAUCUCUCUAAAUUAAUUUUCUUCUCCUCUCUCUCUCUCUAGCCGAUUGUGAGCAAGGAAGAGUUCGUGUGGAGCAUUUCGUUGUCGACAUCGCGCCGCGGAGCCGUCCGAGCAUAUGUGCGUCGCCGUAGUUUCGCGAGGAGGCCGGGCGAGGGAGUGUUUUCGUCGGUCUCGACGCCGUGCCGGAAUUGGAGUCGCUGGUUGAGGUGGGUAAUCUCUCAUUCCUCCAUGGAUUUCUUCUCUACUUCAAGCUUCAUUGAAUUCGAGCGCGAGGUGCUGUUUUCACUGAUUUCCAACGUCGACCGUCGACGUUUCGGCUCCCUCUCGACGUACGAGCAUCGGAUUUUGACGAGACUUGGUUUGUUGGAUUCGGGACUUCGAGAGGAAUCCACGAAGCCCUUGCUGGUUUUGGUGGAGGUUUUCUUGGUCGGAAUUAUUCUCUUCUCUGCUGCUGUUUUUGAGGCAGAAUCGGUGCUCAUUUUCGGAUUUUACGUGUAGAGUUUGGCGGGAGCGUGAUUUCUGGCCUUUGGAGGUUUGCGGAUUGAUCCAGCAGGGUGUUCCUUUGCUUCGGGACGUCCUCGCUGCUGGGGAUUAGCAACUAAGGUGGGUUAAUCAUCGGCUUAUACUCCUAAGUGCGCAAUAGUCAACAUGUGUAAUUUCAGAUUUUGUAUAGUUUACUUUAGCUCGAAUUCAUAGAUUAAUUUGUGAAUUACAAUCUGAAUUUGGAGCAUGUGUUAAUAAAUUAAGUAAUUUAUACAUGUUGGACUUGGAAUUUGACUUAGGAGAAAACAUGCGAUUUGGACCUGUCACUUGUUUAAACUGCCUGAUUUAGCUCUAGGAGCCGUUAUA